rnacentral:rRNA from 1 species
CACGUAGUUAGCCGGGGCUUCUUGGUCAGGUACCGUCAUUUUCUUCCCUGCUGAUAGAGCUUUACAUACCGAAAUACUUCUUCACUCACGCAGCGUCGCUGCAUCAGGGUUUCCCCCCAUUGUGCAAUAUUCCCCACUGCUGCCUCCCGUAGGAGUUUGGGCCGUGUCUCAGUCCCAAUGUGGCCGUUCACCCCCUCAGGCCGGCUACUGAUCGUCGCUUUGGUAGGCCGUUACCCUGCCCAACUGGCUAAUCAGACGCGGGUCCAUCUCACACCGAUAAAUCUUUUCCGUCAGUAUCAUGCGAUACCAGCGGGUUAUGCGGUAUUAGCGGUCGUUCCAACUGUUAUCCCCCUGUGUGAGGCAGGUUACCCACGCGUUACUCACCCGUCCGCCACUCAGUCAACAAAAGACUUCAUCCGAAGAAUCGUUCUUAAGCGCUUCGUUCGACUUGCAUGUGUUAAGCACGCCGCCACGCGUUCACUCCUGACGCCGAAGGACUCCGAAAACUUCUCGU